ensembl:ncRNA lncRNA:CR44440 long non-coding RNA:CR44440
CCUAUAAAAAUGCUUCAUCAAUCCAUUUGUGUAGUCACUUUGCAAGGGUGUACUUCGGUUAACCGACUAUAUUUCAAAGCGAUAGUUAAUGAAACUUAUGCUGCUAUCACAUUAUUUACUGUGAAAAUUCUUUGUGAACUGAAGAGCAAUCGGGAACAUCGAUCUUGACAACGCCGAAUUCGUUUUGGUAUAACACAGGAUCUUUAGUUUAUACUUGGUUGGCAUCACAUCGAAACUUAGCACGGGAAACCAUGGUUAAUCGACAAUAUUUGCGCUGUGCAACAUGUACAAGUACAUAAAUAGAACUGUUUACACAUAACAACAAUGUAUCAAAAAUCCGUUAACAGCCGACGUGAACACUCGAAACAUAACCAGACCUGCCGCAGAAAAUGCUGCGAUAAGAGAUGCUAAAGAGAUAAACCAUCUCUUACCAAAAAGUUAGAUUAGAUUGACCAAAGAGGUUAAUGUGUACACUUAAACUGUCUAUAAUCUUUACAACACAUAUAAUGACAAACAUGGAUAUUUUUCAACUCAAUAAGAGAAUAAUUUAUUAGGAAUUUGGAAUAUCAAACGGCACAAUGAUACGCAGCUCUUACUUACUUACUUUUUAUUAAUUUUAAUUUUCUUUUUACAAAAAAAAAAAUCUAAGAACAAAUCGCUUGUCAUCGGGAAAACGUUUUUGAUUUUAUAAAUUAGUUUCCACCUUUCCAGUUUUGUUGGUUUGCACUCACAACUCACAAUGACGCAAAUGAUUGCUUAUUCUGUAUUUUUUUAUUCUAGUAGGAAAAAAUCUACAUUGGCAACGCUGCUGCCGUGAAGCUAAGAAUGCAGUAUUAAAAAGCGAAACAAAAUAAUAUCAAUAAAAAGGUUAAUGGUAAACUUAGGAACUUCCAGCUCUUAAACCGCGCAAAUAUUUUCCUUUAUGUGAUAAUUAAGCAAGGUCAUGUAGAAUCUAUUGAUAAAUUUCUGAUUACAAAAAAAUAUUUAAAUAUUCGUUGGUUUUAAAAAUUGGAAGCAAUUGACCCCAACAAAUGCUAAGCACGAGCUCUUGUGACAUUGUCUACUCCGAAAAAGGAAUGGUAAUCUUUUAAUUUUUUGAUCCUCUUCAUUGUAAUUAAAAAUACGUCUCAUUAUGUAACACAGUUUUGGAUUAAAAAUCGAGCACACUACAAAAUAAACUUUUAAUAAAAAAUAUAAGACAACAUAACAUAUAUAAGUGAAAAUAAAAUGUA